rnacentral:sRNA from 1 species
UGCAACGUCAUGCUGCAACGUCGUUCUGC